ACGAAGGGGGCUAGCGUUGCUCGGAAUCACUGGGCGUAAAGGGUGCGUAGGCGGGUCUUUAAGUCAGGGGCGAAAUCCUGGAGCUCAACUCCAGAACUGCCUUUGAUACUGAAGAUCUUGAGUUCGGGAGAGGUGUGUGGAACUGCGAGUGUAGAGGUGAAAUUCGUAGAUAUCGGGAGGAACGCCAGUGGCGAAGGCGGCUUCCUGGCCUGUUCCUGACGCUGAGACGCGAAAGCUGGGGGAGCGAACGGGA
rnacentral:rRNA from 1 species